rnacentral:misc_RNA from 1 species
UCCAUCGUGACCUCGCCUCUUCUCUCUUUCAUUCGAGCCUCAUGGUUCCCUUGUCAUUUAUUUUUGUUGUUUUGUUCUCUUUUAUCACAACUUCCAUCUCUAUCGUGGUCCGCACGGCGCACACAUCCGCGGCCGGUGUGAUAGCGGCUUUAAAGUGAGUGAAUACUGAUUAUAGUGAACGUCGGCUUUUCGUCUUUGUCGUUUUGAAUUUCAACAUUAUUCGCGACGAAUAUUAUUCUAAUUAGUAAUUUCUAAUAUUUACGAUAAUAUUAUUAUUGUUUAUAAAAACGUUUUUCAAAUUAUAUCCGUAACAUGCACCUCGUUACGUCUAUUUGCGCCCCGCUUGUUCGUUAAUAAUUAUUAUAAGACGGCAAUCGGUUAAACGUUUACCUACGUUUAUCCUUGAUUUGGCUGAACAUGUGGAUUUCCGAUUUAAACGCAUGCUUUUCGCCUGGCUCGUCCUUGUCGGUGUAAUAGGUACUACUCGGCUGUGAUGCAAUAACCACGUGAAACCAAACCAGGCGUUUUGUUUUCAUUUCAGAAUCUUUAUUUUUAAACGCCGGUGAUUUGAAAUUCAAACUUAGACCAUGAGCCCGAGUCAUAGCAAACAGUCAACAAUUCGUAAGAUAACAUCAGGCAUUAAAAAUAAAAAUGGGAAAAGGUCGUUUUUAAGAACAUCAGAGAAUGAUGUAACUGAUGAAUUUUACUAUAAAAGAAAAAAAUCCAUUAAACACUCUCAAGUAGAUAUAAAUAAUGCAGUCUUGACAGCACCAAAUAUUAUGACAAGAAAUAAACUAAAACAACAACUAACAAGUAUAGACAACAGUGAAUUAGUAGAAACAAGUGUCAUAGAAGAUAAAUGUUCCAGAAAUGACAAUAUAAGAAUUAAAUCAGGAAAAGCUAAUAAGAAAAGAAAACCUUCAAACAAAAUUAAUACAAAAAUUACAAAUAAGUUGCAACUUGGUUUUGUUUUUACAAAUGAUAUUUCUUCUCCAUAUUGUGGAAAACAACUAGAUACCAAUUAUAAAAAAGGCCCACCUUCAUUAUUUGAAUCAGACUCUGACCCAGAAAUUGAUUCUUUUCAAAUAAAGGAUAGUAUAAAAAACGAAGUGGAAGAAAUAUCGACUUGUAUUUCUUAUCCAGACGAUAUAUUAUGUCCUACAUUUGACAAAAAUGUUGGAAUGAAAACUUAUUUAAACAAAAAAUCAUAUCUUAUUAACAAUAAGUCUAAUAUACAAUCAUUAAAUACAUCUGAGAAAAUUAAUCAACAACCAUCGAGUUUAUAUAAUCACAUUAAAAUGGUCCAUGACUCUAAUCCGUCUAAUAGCAUAUCACAAAAUAACAGUAAAACCAGGAAAUCAUUGAAAUGUACAGAUCCUACAACAAGUGAAUGUGUGCAAACAAAUACUGAAGAUGAAGACACUAUUAUUGUUACUGAAUCAUUUAUAAGACAACUAAAAAACGAAGUUGAAAUAAUAAAAACAGAAUCACAAAGUAGCGAAAUCGGAACUCGAGAACUAUUUUAUGAUAAUAAUAUUAAUAAAUCCAAUGAUUCUGAUAUAGAGCAAUAUAAAGACAAUGAAGUGGUAUCCAAAAUACUGUCUUCAGAUUUUGAUGUGAACCAAAUUAAUAUGUGCACUAUUGAUACUAAUAUCACUAAUAUAAUAUGUGAUACAAACUUCAAAUCAUCAAUUUCAUCUAAUUUAUUAUUAAAUGAAGACAUGGACGUUAUUGAUGAAUCACACAAAUUUACACCAUCACUGUCACCAUCGCCACAAACCACAAAUACUGUUGAAAAUAGCUUAAUGAGUAUUUUUGAUGUACCGAAAGAGAACAUUGUUGAAAGUUAUGCUAAUAUCAAAGAUAUCGAUUCGGAUUCUAACAUUUCAACUACAAUUUCAGAGAACAUGAUAGAUCUAAGUAGCUUACAGACUUUUGAAUUUGAUAAUAGUAACUCAGAUCAAUCUAUAGAAAAUCGUCCCAAGUCUGAAAAUAAUAGCACUUGCCAUCUUUCCCCAGAUCAGAUUGAACCUGAUCAGUAUUUUCAUACAGUAAUUAAAGAUGAGAUAAAAAUAAUGAAAAAACCCGAAUCUUUUAUUAAUAAAGGAAAUUCUAAUUGUUCACUCAAAAAUGACAAUUUAAGUUCUUCUUAUGAUAGUUAUUCAAAAAAAUAUAACAAUCUUUAUUCUCAAUGCUAUUGUAAAAAUUUUACUAGUUUCAACAACGAUGAUAAUAAGAUAUUUACUUCUAAAAUCAAGCAUUUUGCAUUUAAUAAUAAUGCUAAAAAAGUUCGUCAAAAAAUAUUGCGUAAAAAACAUUUAGAAGCCAAUAUUUUAAAUAUGCUUAUUACCAAAGAUCACAAAAAUAUCAUUCAACCAAGAGAGCAUAAACCAAUCUUUAAUUCAAUUUUAAUUAAUAAAAAAUAUGAAAAAUGCAUUGAAUCAAAAGAGAAUGAUCACAUUGCACCAAGCGUUUUAAGUAUGCUUAAAGAUGUCUAUGUAGACGUAGACUACCUUACUGAAUACAGUGAUUAUAAUACAAGUGCUCAUAAAUUGCCAGAACCGCACACAAAUAAAAAAGAUAUCAAAUUUAAUAUUCAAGCUUCUAAUAUUAAACCAUUAGACAUAAUGCAUAAAUUUAAAAACAAUAAUGAUUCAACAUCAAAUAAUACAUCACAAAAUGAACCAAUUAAUCUUAAACCUUGUGAUGAAAAAUAUGACAAUUUUAAUAAAAACAAAAUAAUUGAUAAUGUCCCCAUAUCAAACACUACAACAACACAAAAACCACUUAACUUCAAACCUUGUGAUCAAAGUUAUGUUAAUUUUAGUAAAAACAAAAUAAUUGAUGAUUCUAAAAUAAAUAUUCCAAAAAAAAAAAAAACAGUCAACAUUAAACCUUGCGAUGGAAGUUAUAUUAAUUUUAAUAAAAACAAAAUAAUUGACAAUGUUUCCAUUUCAAACACUACAACAACACAAAAACCAGUCCACUUUAAACCGUGUGUUGGAAGUUAUGUUAAUUUUAAUAAAAACAAAAUAAGUGAUAAUUUUCUCAUGUCAAAUACUAAAACGACCCAAGACCCAAUCAACAUUAAACCUUGUGAUAGAAGCUCUGUUAACUUAAAUAAAAACAAAAUUAUUGAUAAUGUUUCUACGUCAAAUAGUAAACUAGUUAAUGUUGAACCUUGUGAUCAACGUCAUGUAAAUUCUAAUAAAAACUAUAUAUUAUUUGAUAAUGCUUCUACGUCAAAUAAUAAAAAAAGUAAUGAACCAAAUAAUCUUAAACCUUAUGAAGAAAGUGAUGCCAACUAUGAUAAUUUGAUAAUAAUUAACAAUGCUUCAACGUCAAAGAGUAUUACAAAAAAUAAACCAAUUAGUCCUAAAUCUUGUAAUCAAAAUUAUAUACAUUUUAAUAAAAACAAAAUAACUGUUAAUGCCUCUAUGGUAAAUAGUACAACAAAAAAUAAAUCAAUUAAUUCUGAAUCUCACGAGGAAAAUGUUUUCAACUUUAAUAAAAGCGUAAUAAUUGACUAUGUAUCUACAUCAAAUAAUAAAUCAAUUAACCUUGAACCUUGUGAUCAAAGUUAUGUCCAUAUUAGUAAAAACAAAAUACCUGAUAGUGCCUCUAUGUCAAAUAAUUUAACAGAAAAUAAACCAAUCAAUCUUGAACCUUGUGAGGAAAAUUGUGUCAACUUCAAUAAAAAUGAAAUAUUUGACAAUGUUUCUACGUCAAAUAGUAUAUCGGUUAAUCUGGAACAUUUCGAUCAAAGUAUUAUCAACUUUAAUAAUCAACCUAAAAAUGAAAUAAAUUAUCCAACAAUUAAUUCUAUUGAAAAAAAUGAUUUUGAUGGUGACAUUGUUUGUAAUUCUCAUGUAGUAAAUGCCGAAAUUGAUACUAAAAGUAAAAUCAAAGUUGAAGAUGAUUUUAACUACGAUACUACUACUUUAAAGUAUAAUUUUAAAUCUGAAAAAAGCCCAGGACUUGAAAUAAAACCAUUUGAAAUUUGUCAUUUAAGUGAUAGCACUGUAAUAAUAAAUAAAAACGAUGAUUCUGAAGAAGAGUUGGAAAUAGUAGAAAAAUGGAAUGAUAAUGAAUCAGAAAAUAAUUUGUCAUCAUCCAAAAUAAAUACCAACCAUGAGUUUACUCAAACAAAAGAAACACACAUUUUAAAAGAUGAUCAUAAACCAGGUGGUGUACGGAUAUAAAAAGGUUGAGAACCGCUGCUCUACACUACUUAGUUGUAUUAUGCUAAGACAUAAAAUAUAUAGCAGUUGACUCUUGCUCUUGCAAUAAUUGAAAAUGAAAAAAAAAUAAAUAUAUCAACAUUAUUAAUUGAACCACCUCAAUACAAAAACCUUUUUGAUUCAAGUGAUACCAUUAGCUCAAAAGCAUAUCAAAUUU